AUUGAACGCUGGCGGCAGGCCUAACGCAUGCAAGUCGAGCGGAUGAAGGGAGCUUGCUCCUGGAUUCAGCGGCGGACGGGUGAGUAAUGCCUAGGAAUCUGCCUGGUAGUGGGGGAUAACGUCCGGAAACGGGCGCUAAUACCGCAUACGUCCUGAGGGAGAAAGUGGGGGAUCUUCGGACCUCACGCUAUCAGAUGAGCCUAGGUCGGAUUAGCUAGUUGGUAGGGUAAAGGCCUACCAAGGCGACGAUCCGUAACUGGUCUGAGAGGAUGAUCAGUCACACUGGAACUGAGACACGGUCCAGACUCCUACGGGAGGCAGCAGUAGGGAAUAUUGGACAAUGGGCGAAAGCCUGAUCCAGCCAUGCCGCGUGUGUGAAGAAGGUCUUCGGAUUGUAAAGCACUUUAAGUUGGGAGGAAGGGCAGUAAGUUAAUACCUUGCUGUUUUGACGUUACCAACAGAAUAAGCACCGGCUAACUUCGUG
rnacentral:rRNA from 1 species